UUUAAAACUACCUCAGUUCUGCUCCUCUCUUCAUUUGUCCUCAACCAAAUGCUCCCCACGCUAUUUAUGGCUUCAGGCUGGUGAAUUUCUCCUAAGGUGUUCAUCUUCUUGAUUUAUAGUUGUUCUCUUCUUCAUCUUAUAUUAGUUGGUUUUGUUGUUGUUUUUGAGAUAGGCACAUUUUACGUUGCUCUAUCUUAGUCAUUUGUUUGUGUUACAAAGUUUUUUGGCUACACUAAAAUGACCUUAUCUACCUAAUUGAGUUAAAUUCCAAAUUUCUUAUUUUUACUUAUAUUUGAUAUACCUAAAGUCUUAGGAGUGAGUUUCAGUCCUUUCCCCUCUUACAUUUUCUAGAGAAUUACUGAAAACCUUCUUCGUUGGUGUUCUUCUUUCCACACCACUAGAAUCUAGCGUGUUCUCAUGUAGGAGAUAAAGAACUUGACGGGGAGUCAAAACUCUGGUGUUCCUGUCCUGACAUCACUGGGAAUUGAUAGUAGCAAGCAUUUCUAUUUCCACAUUUGCAAAGCACACAGACUGAGCUAGGCGAUCCCUGGAGUCCUUUCCACCUCUGUGAUUUCUCAUUUUCUGCAAGUGGAUUCUUGGCUCCAGCUCUCUCCUGAACCAAGUAUGGAGGGUGAGUGAGGAGGGGGUGGUUAAAAUGGUUUCCAGUGUAUUCCUUAGUAACCUCCCCUUACCAGGCAGUAUGUGCUCCCCUGUAAAUGCUAAUGGAAGGUUUGUCUUUAAUUAGAACGAGCUAUUUGCCUUAUAGUAUACUAUGGGACUGGAUGAGAUUCCCACCCCUGUGCUCCCGGAGGAUAACUCAGCUGGAAGAUUAUAACUACAUUCUUGCUAGGGCUUUUGCACUAAUCUCUUCUGUGAUUGCAAAAUAUGUAUGAAAUAAUAUAUAUUAAAGUUAAAGUGGGUGUACAGAAAGUUAGCAACUUAAAACACUUUCCCAAAAUGGAAAAACAUCUGUAUAAUGUGCAACCCAAACUCCACUCCUAGGGGGCCACGCGGCGGGCCUCUCUUUGGGGUCCACCAACCUGUCUGUGACUUCCGAUCCCUUUGACUCUCACGUGAACUCCUGAUUCCUGAGAUCCUCCUGGACACUCUUCCUUCUCAUUCCUGGCCGAAUAGCCUCUCACUGACUUUGUUCCAAGUCUCCAACCUCAGUUUGGUGAAGACUGAAGCUGAGAAUCAACUUCCCGUGCCUGGAUUGCCACGGCAUAUUUGCCAGCCCACUGCUUAGAAGCUGCCCCACCUUGGCUGUGACUGCGCUGCUCUGAAUCAUCAUACGUCUCUCGGAAGAGCGUCCACACAGGAAUGAACACCCAUGAUCUCUGAGAACAGUCCUGCGGGUAGGUCGAGCAGGCGGGCUAUGGCUGUGGUUGGAUUAUUUCUCAACUCAACUAACUCAGUGUUUAGUUCCAGGUAACAGCAAAGGGUCACAUCCCUCCGGGAGUUACAGCCACAAGUGGGAUUUCCUUAGAUCAUCAAACAAAGUGGGCCUGAUGGGCAGGUCAACUAGGGGGCGCUUUACCUUGGAGCCUCCCACUAGUGUGCUCUGGAUAGAAGGGAUGUGUCUGCAGAGAGCAGCCAAGAGGCACCUGCGACAAUCUGAGCCCCCAGACAGCUGUCUCCACGCAUGACCCUCCUAGCACCACAUGGCUGUCACCAUCUUAGUCAACGACCUGCAGGUGUCCCCUGAAAAUGCGGGAUGGAGUGUGCAGCUCUUCAGCCUGGAAUUCAAGACCCUCUAUGAAGUGGCUUCCAGUUCAUUUUGACCUUUUCAGCAUCCGUCAGAAACACAACCUAACAUGGGAGGGAACAGCUUCAGGUGAUGGUACCUCUUGACAAGGAUGGAAGGCUUCAGAGCCUGCUCUAAAGGAGGCUGUUAAGAAGGGCGUGGAAUCAUUGGGGCUGCACAGUAUGAGCUGCUUCCACCCCAGCCCCAGGGAUGCUGGUUGGUCCAAGACAGUGAAAUUAUAAGAAACCGAAGGCACAAGGAACACUGCUGUGUGGCCUCAUACAUGCAAGUAGUGCAGAGCACAAAUUUUGCACUUCAGUGCAAUGACCACCAAACCAGUGGAAGGCGCAGAGGACAUCCUACUCAUGGCCAAGAGAUCGAUGGCGCCAGAACUCAAGAAUGAGAAAGAACUGUGGACAGGGCAGCUUCAUGGGCGUGCAAUUUGUGCAGUGUGCUUAGAAUGGCCUUGUACUUGGUUGAAUGCUCUGCUGUGACCAUCUUGAAAGUUUGAACAGUUUUUUUUUUCUUUUUGGAGAGGAAGAUUGGACCUGAACUAAAAUCUAUUGCCAAUCUUCCUCUUUUUGCUUGAGGAAGCUUGUCCCUGAGCUAACAUCUAUGGCAAUCUUCCUCUAUUUUGUAUGUGGGUUGCCACCACAGCAUGGCAUGAUGAGCAGUGCAUAGGUCCAUGCCCAGGGUCUGAAUAGGUGAAUCCUGGGCUACAGAAGCAGAACACAUGAACUUAGCCACUACACCACUGGGCCAGCCCCUUGUUUUUUUUUAACAAGAUGCCCACAUUUUAAUUUUGCGCCAGGCUCUACAAAUUACGUAGCUCGUCCUGACUACAGAUACGUAUACAGAACCAAAUGGCCCACAAGAGAGAUCAAGGGGCAUCUGGCAGCAACAUUGGGCUGGAGGAACCACUGCUGGGAGUGGUAGGAUGGAAACGUACCACAGAAGAGCCAGGGAAUCCAUGUCAUGAGCACACACAGGACGUGCAUUCGACCCUGAGGAACCAAAGGGACAGAACAGAGACCAGGAUGAACAAAAGAAAAAGUCUUUCUGUUCUUAUCACCGUGAACCCACUGUAAUCCCUCGGCAGUGGUCACCUGAGGAGAAACAGGCCUCAGUUAAAAAGACAAAAGAGACUGGCUUGAGAGAGAAAAACGUUCAAAGAUAAGUAAAUUGGAAAGCAUUUACUCUCUCGGAUAUCCAGGAAGGCACCUUGAGAGAGAGUUUAUGCCAGACUUAGGAGCUCCCAAAUACAUUUUAACAAUUUAUUUGUAUUCCUUUGAAAAAGAAAUGGAAACCAAUUCAAGUAUUCACCCAGGAAACAUAACGUGGCUAUUGUGUUUGGUCUCAGAUAAACACAUAGAAACACAGGGGGCUCAUCACACACUCCUUCAGCAAAUCAAUACAUGUGUGUGGUUGCUCAAGAGAACCAGCAUACUUGGGAUUACAGCCCAUCACAGACUGUUGAUGCAAAAUAACCAAUAACUGUUCUAUAGGUAAGAGAUAAGGUGAGUUUUACUUGAGUCAGAGUAAGGAUUACAACCCAGGAAGGCAGUUUCUCAAAGGAAGAAAGUGUUCCGGAGAAGCCUGGUUUUCAGUACAGUUUUAUACCUUUUUAGAACAAAGAACACACAUUAAACACACCCAGGAUACAUACUCAUCAAAGUUGCAAAGAGGUAUUCAGUUGCAAAUUAGCAGGUCAACAUGACCCUGAUGUCCAGGAAAGGGAACUUAUCUUCAAGAGUAUUAAUACAGUGUAGCCAUAGGGCAUUACCAGUACUGGCUUGUAGGAGGGGAAGUAUGCAUUCUUAUCUGAAGAGAGUGCAUUCUUUACUCUAAUGGUUAAAGCGGAUGUACAAUGUAUGUUUGAUUGGCCAUAAGUCAGGUUUCUUUAGUUCAAGCCGAAUCAGUUUUGAACAAGAAUAGCUACCCUAUGUACCUCAAAAUGUGAAAUCUCUUGUCAAGACUCUCAGUGAACAUGGCUACACAAGUGGAUGAACUCUCGUAGUCAGAUUAGCAAGAUUCCAGAACCUCGGAAGUAGGCAGGAGUGAGAAUAGCCACACCAGAGGGAAAAACGAAAAAUAAGCAAACAGGCCCCAAACCUCUAUUUAUUCAUCAAAACCAGAAAGAGAUGAAGGAAACAUGGAGGAAAGAAAAUGCACAAACUAAUGUUAUCACAUCAUCAAGAGGGCUACCACUCAUGGCCAAGCUUCAUCGUGGGCUCUCGAGAUCCGCUUGUAAAAGAACUUCACAUGUAUUAACUUCUUUAAUAUUUGCAACACCUAUGAAGCAAUCAAUAUUAUCCAUAAUCUACAGACUGAGGAAGCAGAGGUACAUAGGAAUUAAGUAACUUGCCCCAAAUCACACAGCUAGUCAAUGAGGUUGAGUCCUCCAGCUUCGGGCCCAAAUCCUAUGCGAUUUUGGAAGCCCAAAUAUAGACGAUUACAAAGGCUUACCCGGCAGGCUUCAUGGGGGAAAGCUGCCCUCUCCACAUCAAACUCAUGCACAGCCAGAGCAGUCCAGGCGGAACAGAGCUGCAGUCUGGGACUCAGGUCCCUCUGGGUAGCCAUGCUCUCAUGCAUAACUGCACCCCUAACUCGGGUAUCUUCAUUUCUGGGUCUGUUUAUCUGGACCUUUGGCCAAGGUCUUCUUUGGGCCCCCCUGUGCCACUCCUAGCUCUCCCCCAACCCCCACUCAUCCCCUAGCCUCAGGGUUCAUAAAACUGCCCAAGCCUUUGUUUCAGGUUCUUCAUCAAUGAGAUGACUCUCCUGUCCGCACUUGACCCUUCGCCAGCAUGCCAUUCUACGGAGCGGUGGGGUGGGCGUGAGGAAAUGGAACA